GCCUCCAUAGCUCAGUGGGUAGAGCACUGGUCUAGUAAACCAGGGGUUGGGAGUUCGAUCCUCCCUGGAGGCA
rnacentral:tRNA from 1 species